UACGUAGGGUGCAGGCGUUACUCGGAAUUACUGGGCGUAAAGCGUGCGCAGGCGGUUUUUUAAGUCCGAUGUGAAAGCCCCGGGCUUAACCUGGGAACUGCGUUUGAAACUGGGAGACUUGAGUGUGGCAGAGGGGGGUGGAAUUCCACGUGUAGCAGUGAAAUGCGUAGAUAUGUGGAGGAACACCGAUGGCGAAGGCAGCCCCCUGGGUUAACACUGACGCUCAUGCACGAAAGCGUGGGGAGCAAACAGG
rnacentral:rRNA from 1 species